UACGGGGGGGGCAAGCGUUGUUCGGAAUUACUGGGCGUAAAGGGCUCGUAGGCGGCCAACUAAGUCAGACGUGAAAUCCCCUCGGCUUAACCGGGGAACUGCGUCUGAUACUGGAUGGCUAGAGGUUGGGAGAGGGAUGCGGAAUUCCAGGUGUAGCGGUGAAAUGCGUAGAUAUCUGGAGGAACACCGGUGGCGAAGGCGGCAUCCUGGGCCGUACCUGACGCUGAGGCGCGAAGGCUAGGGGAGCGAACGGG
rnacentral:rRNA from 1 species